GACGAACGCUGGCGGCGUGCCUAAUACAUGCAAGUAGAACGCUGAAGGAGGAGCUUGCUUCUCUGGAUGAGUUGCGAACGGGUGAGUAACGCGUAGGUAACCUGCCUGGUAGCGGGGGAUAACUAUUGGAAACGAUAGCUAAUACCGCAUAAGAGUAGAUGUUGCAUGACAUUUGCUUAAAAGGUGCAAUUGCAUCACUACCAGAUGGACCUGCGUUGUAUUAGCUAGUUGGUGAGGUAACGGCUCACCAAGGCAACGAUACAUAGCCGACCUGAGAGGGUGAUCGGCCACACUGGGACUGAGACACGGCCCAGACUCCUACGGGAGGCAGCAGUAGGGAAUAUUCGGCAAUGGACGGAAGUCUGACCGAGCAACGCCGCGUGAGUGAAGAAGGUUUUCGGAUCGUAAAGCUCUGUUGUAAGAGAAGAACGAGUGUGAGAGUGGAAAGUUCACACUGUGACGGUAUCUUACCAGAAAGGGACGGCUAACUACGUG
rnacentral:rRNA from 1 species